rnacentral:rRNA from 1 species
UGGGGAAUAUUGCACAAUGGGGGAAACCCUGAUGCAGCGACGCCGCGUGAAGGAAGAAGUAUUUCGGUAUGUAAACUUCUAUCAGCAGGGAAGAAAAUGACGGUACCUGACUAAGAAGCUCCGGCUAAAUACGUGCCAGCAGCCGCGGUAAUACGUAUGGAGCAAGCGUUAUCCGGAUUUACUGGGUGUAAAGGGAGCGUAGGCGGCAGGGCAAGUCUGAUGUGAAACUCCGGGGCCCAACCCCGGACUUGCAUUGGAAACUGUCAGGCUGGAGUGCGGGAGAGGCAGGCGGAAUUCCUAGUGUAGCGGUGAAAUGCGUAGAUAUUAGGAGGAACACCAGUGGCGAAGGCGGCCUGCUGGACCGUAACUGACGCUGAGGCUCGAAAGCGUGGGGAGCGAACAGG